CCUACGGGUGGCAGCAGUGAGGAAUAUUGGUCAAUGGCCGGAAGGCUGAACCAGCCAUGCCGCGUGAAGGUCAGUGCCCUAUGGGCGUUAAACUUCUUUUGUGCGGGAGCAAUAAUGGUCACGUGUGGCCAGACGAGAGUACCGUACGAAUAAGCAUCGGCUAACUCCGUGCCAGCAGCCGCGGUAAUACGGGGGGUGCAAGCGUUAUCCGGAAUUAUUGGGUUUAAAGGGUGCGUAGGCUGUGAGGUAAGUCAGCGGGGGAAUGCCCCCGCUCAACGGGGUGAAGUGCAAUUGAUACUGGCUGGCUGGAGUGCGGAUGCGGUGGGAGGAAUGUGUGGUGUAGCGGUGAAAUGCAUAGAUAUCACGCAGAACACCGAUUGCGAAGGCAUCUCACGAAUCCGCGAUUGACGCUGAUGCACGAAAGCGUGGGUAUCAAACAGGAUUAGAUACCCUGGUAGUC
rnacentral:rRNA from 1 species